GCUUGACUCUUGAGCCGAAUAGUUCGUGAGGAGGGUCCAGUUGUUCCCCCAUUGAACAGUAGUUAAUAAUGGAAUUUGGGCAAGUUUGUACAGUGUGUUUGCCAGUGACUAUGGAGGCGGGGCAGUUAAUGUCCAAGACUCUUCCACUGAAAAUAAACCUUCAUGAGGAAAGAGAGAGAAGGAGAGAGAGAAAGGGAGAGGAGGGAGGCAGGGAGAGGAGGGAGGAGGAAGGGAAAAGAGCCUUUCAACGGGGACAGAAGGGAAAAGAGUCUCCGUUUCAAUGGAAUAAAAACUGCGCAAUUUCUUUAAGGACUCCCUGCUCGGAUCGCGGCGGACCAUUACUCUCCAUGAAACCUUUUGCGUUUUUGGAUGAUUUGGACAUCUGUGCUCAUUGCACUAAUAAUAAUAAUAAAAACCUCUCUGCUGUUUUGAAUUCUACAACCAGCUUGCGAUUUUUUUUUUUUUGCAAUCAUUCAGAAUAUGACUGUGCAGAGAUGCAACAUCAGUGAUGAGUCUAUCCGUCAUGCCUUGCCCAUGGGCGAACAUUUUCUAUGUGAUCUAUGCGUGUGUGCUGUCUGCUCGACGUUUGCACCUAAAUGGAUGUUGAAUGAGGAUUUUUUUAAAUAUUUUUUUUAGGGGGAGAGGGUUUUUUUUAGGGGGCUGCGUCAUCCAUGGCUGAAGCCGCUUUGCAGAUUUUUCCACUAUUGCACUGUUUUAACAGGGCACCUCCCCACCACAGCACAUUUUGGAUCAAAAGAGAAGGAUUGGAGAACAUGGUCAAACGUUGUGCUGCGUUUGAAGAACCGCCACCACCACCUGACUGAAGCGUAAGUGAAAUAUCUGGCGACCAACACCUUAGUGGCAAGAUGGGCUGCACAGUGUGGGAGUGGAAAAUACUCUUCCCGUCCCUCAGUGAUGGGAACCACCUGGCUGCAAGCAUCCACCUGCACAGGUACAGGCCCACCCAGUUAGAGGCCGCCUACACCCACGGUGUGUUCAGCAGUGGCAGGAGGUCGGAGAUGUCAUGGUGGCUCCUGGCUGCUGAAAGAGAAGGACUAGUUCACCCAUGAUCAUCAGCAGCCACCAGUGUUCGUGGGAGACACCAAGAACAUCAAAACCCCCGAGAAUUCACUUGUUCAAGCCUCUGGCAUAAGAAGAGUUCUUAUUUUUCUUACUUUUUUGUGAUGGUAAACUGUUUUUGUCUUUGGGUUUUCAUGUAUAUUAUAUAUUGUUGUAACUGUAGUUCUAAAUUAGUCAGGUUAAUUUCCACAAUUAAUGUUACUAUCAGGUCUUAGCCUUAUCAUUUAUCAUAGUCAGGUAAAGUUGUAAUAUUAUAUACUUUUUGUAGGGUUUUUUCCCUAAUAUUGAAAUUAUGCAUGUAAAUGAACAUCAUAAAUGACAGUGUAGAGUCUUCCCUUCAGUAUUUAAAGUGGUUAAGUGGUGAAUUUGAAACACCAGUGUUAUUUUUCUUCUGGAAAACACUUUGGCUUAAGCUUUUUACAUUGUUAAUCUUUCCACAUGUUGUUUUUUUAUGCUGGAAGACACAUCAUGAGUGAAAUAAGCAGUCAACACCAUGGCUGAGCGUUUCCAACUAGAAACUGCAGUUUAGCGAUGACAGUGUAAAAUACUGACUGUCAGCACUGCAAGCGCACCAGUUGUGCAUCUGCAAGGAAAGCAAAUGGUGCUUAAAUGCAUUCUUGUUAAGUGGAAUAAUGUGAAGAGAUUAUUUGUCCUCCACACAUUUUUAAUUCCUCAUUAAAAGAGUUGCAAUUGAAGUAGUCGCUGCCGGACUUUGGGGAUGCUUUGAUUUGUACAUGCUGUUCUUUAACGGUGCCCAAACACGGUGGAAAGUUCUUCACUCUCCAGAUAACCCUAACCCACUGACACAGGGCUACAGCUGCAUCUGGAAGCAGCUGCUGUAUCCUGUAGAAAGUGUCAAGUCUCUGCAGCUUUUCAGAAAUAUCCACAGGAUCCCCAAGUGUUUUCUGUGUUUGGCAUGAGGAGCAAUGCAACCAAUUACAGCCGACCGAGACGUACUUAUUGUAGUAUGAAUAGAACUCCGCUGUCCACGCUUAGCAUCCAUGUCGGUCAUGUGGAAACCAUAACUUCUCAGGAAUCAAUCCAGUCAACUUGUAGGAUGACUUUCCGUAUCAUUCUUCUUCUUCAUAAUUGGUUUCUGGUUUGAACAUGGCCUUAAGUAUUACAUUCUGCCAUUGUAUAGUGUAGAAUAGUUUUAGUUGUAGGUGAGCUGUUGUGCUCGAGCAGCAGCAAGCAGGAAGAAGUAAUGGUGUAGAAUUACAUCUAAGCCAUUUUAAGGCAAGAAGGGAUUAUUUUCCUGGAAAAAAAACUUGUAAAUAAGUAACUUUGAUGCACAGAGAUGAGUUUUUAGGGAUUUGAGCAUGAACUGGAAAGGAAAUUUAAGUUUCAUUAACCCAGGUCUACUCUUGAAAUGCAUUCCUCUCUAAGAAUAUGUACAGCGACCGAUGUUUGUUUUAACUGAAGUAUUUGACCGGUUUUCACACUAACCUCUGCAGCAGUUUGAGUAUUCGCAUUGAUAGACACUGUAGUCCCAUAAAGUACGAAUUGGUUAUUUCCCACUUUGACAAACUUCUAGACAAAACUUCAGACUUGUCACAGUUACCUUUAAGCUUCAGAGCUGCUUCAAGCUCAUUUUAAAACCCCUGACUGUUUAAACAGUUGCAUCAAAGCAAAUUUCCCACCAAGCAGCGACCAAUGGACAGUUUUGGUGUCCACGCUUUCAUCAUUUAAGAGGAAAACUGACCAAUUAGCCAAUCUGCUCAAAAUGUAAUAUAUUCCUUUAAGAGCCCUCGUAGCUUUGUAAGCUCCUUUACUUUCCACUGUAUAACUUUGGGAUAGCGAGUACAUUAAGCAGGACUGGAGUGCUUAGCUUAUCAUCGAGCUACAGUCGGGAUUAGCUGGUUGUUUGGGGAACUGAAGGGAAAGCCGGGGCUCCCUGUCAGUCCCUCUCUCCUUGAAUAAGGCCCCUAAUUAUCAGGGCCGCGGCGCUCCAUUCAAGCAGCUACAUCACUGCUAUAUGUGGGUGUGCUAAGCCCGUCCGUCCGUCCAUCUGUCUCACUGCCUGUGUUGCUCGCUGUCUCCUCGUGGGGUGAGUGUGCGAGUAUGUGCGUGGAGGUGAUUAUUAUCAUGUCUGACGGUGUCUCAGUGUACCCAAAGGCUGACUCAUGCUACACACACAGUCCCACACACAGUCCCACAUAUCAGAGGCUGAGAUGUACAGUCUGUACCGGGGACACACACACUCACACAGCAGCCCACAUGCAAACUUUCCCGCUUUCUUUCUUCUGCUGCUGAGUUCUCUGGGGCUCAUCAGUGUUAGAGGCAGUUUAUUUUUUAGAUGUGUGUAUGUGUGUGUGGCUGGUAUGACAGGAAUUUUUGGGGCUCGCACCCAUGGGAAAGCUGCUGUGUAUAUUUGGAGUGUGAGAACUGAGCUGUCCUUGUCCCCGAUCUCUUUAAUUACACACACACUGUCCACACACACGACUACAUGUCUUCCACACACAUGAAUACAGGAUUGUUAGCCAUGUACGAGAGCUGUAAACAUACACAGCUUCACUCUUUGUCCUUAUUGUUGCUAUUGACACACACACAAACACACACGCACUAUAUUUGGGACCCCCGGGACAGACUAAUGCUAAAGCUGCUCUUGUGGGAGAGGAAGGACGGGAAUUCUGCUCUCUGAGAUAUAUAUUUAUUCUUCUCAGACUCUUAUUAUAUACCGUAUGGAGCAUUUAUGAGAGAAACAGCUGGAGGAUGCGGUGUGUGUAUGUGUGUGUGUGUGUGUGCGCGCGUGUGUGUGUGUGUGUGUGCGUAUCCGUGUGUGUGGUAGUCCCGCCCGUGCCCACAUCAAUCAACAGUCUUCUUCCUGUUCACUUUGCAGGGCUAAUGGCCUCCCACCACACUCUUUACAGUGCAAUUACACACACAUCGACGCACAUAAAGCCGGGCGAAGUCGCACACUUGAGACUACAGAUAACUUUCUCGACACACCUAAUGGAAGAUGCGGUGUGAUCUCACACUCCGGGAGGAAUACGAGAACACGAUACAGCCUCAGAUGAUCGGGGUAAAACAGAAAACUGAAAUGACCUUCUUCAUACGCGCCAGAAAAAACACACGAGCAUCACAACAUUUACCUAAAUAGUACCGUCAGUCUAUUUUUGUGCAGGAGAGACCAUUCCACAAACAGAAUGGCCUCUGGAUGUGGAGGUUCUAAGCAUAGAGGGUGUCAUAUUGGGCUAAAUAAAUAAAAUCUACUUGCACCGUGAGCACGAGCAGCGAGCAGCAGAUAAUAUAUAGCCAACGUACAGAACGCACUGGUUUACAACUCUAUGGUGGAUAAUUAAGGACUGCAGCAAUUCAGGCUGUAAUAGCUUCCAGAUGAUGUGAUAAAAUGUCUUUGCAGCUGACUUGAUGUAUUAUAAAACACAAACUCAUGAUUACAACAUUAGGGAUCCAGUUGAAUAUGUAAUUACACCAUCUGUAAUUUUAUUACCUCAGGUUUCUCCACAGCUUCCAUCUAUGCUGUAAAAAAAAAAAUCUGUUGAAAAGAAAUGGUGAGAAGCUGGCAGCAGCUGUGCCAAAAAAUACAUUAAUAAAACAGUGGAAUACUGUAAAAACAAAUAGUGGCUAAUUUUUUUAGAAUAUAUUUUAGCUGAUUUAAAUACAGUAAAACUGAAUUUUUACAAUCACGCAUUUUAGAACCAUGACUUACUAUUUGCAAAAAGAUUUUUGAUUUGGACGUUGUUUGCAGUUUUGGCCUGUUUUUUGGUUGCUUUUUUUAAUUGUCAACAUAUAAAUUACUACUUUUUUGUGUGAUUUUGCAAG
ensembl:lncRNA